UUCAAGUAAUCAAGUAAUCAAGCAAUCAAAGGUGGUGAAUCCUCCGAUAAGGGCAAAGAAAUUAUACCCGAGGAUUGAUAAUCGGAGUACUCCAAAAAUUUCACUCCUGAAAUAGCUCAAGACAGUCAGUAAAUAGCUGAUUACGUCGAGGGUUAUUAUUGGACUCGCCUCCUCAGAAAUUGUAGGUCCAUAGCCUUUGUUACCUUUGGUCAUUCGGGGACCCACACGUCAUUGUAAAUUAAAUUACAUACU